UGUGCUAAAUUUUUCCACGUAAAAGGUUUAUGUUCGAAAGAUCAAACAAAUUUUGCGCACGAAAAUUUUCCUUGGCAAAGUAAGCACAAAUUCCGCGCCACCAAGACUCCAACACUCAAGUGCAUUUUGGAACAUUUAAAUCAUUACAACGUCUACAUUUUGCUUUUGCUAAUAACAAUAAUAAAUAAUUUUAAUUACUUUUUUUUUGUAAUUUUAUAUGCUCAUUCCAUUGAGUUAGCGGACGCUUGUGAUGCAAAAUAUCCCGCCAAGCGGUGUGUGGCACGUAGACAAAAGCAACAGCAACAAAUUGCACGUACGCGCCAAGUGGCAGCUGUUGCAUGCAACAACAAUAGCAAAUUAAUAAAUCUAAAUGGUAGACAUCGGCGCGCCACUUGGAUUCGUGUCUGAAUCGGGACUAUCAAGUGCAAGGUUGCGCGCUAGCAGGCGUCUAAUUUUAGUGAAGACCGGUGGCAAAUUGGCACCAGCAUGCACACGUACACAUUAUAUGUACAGUAAAAUCACGAUAAGACUUCGCUAACAUGAAAAUAAGUUGCAUAAUAAAAGUAUUCUUGCAUUCAUUAGAUGUUUGGAUGAUUUCAAUUUGAGAAGAAUUAUCAAUGAUCUACUGUAGUGAAUUCGCUGCCACUUUUCAAGGGGAAUUCCACAGAAAUUGAAGAUUAUCUUUGUAUUGAAAAUUAUUUCUGUGCUCAGUUGACGCUGUAAAAUUUUCAGCAAUUUAAAUGAGCUUCCGAAGACCGACUAGCUUUUUGCGCUUUAGCAAAUGCGUUGGCUGUGGCUUAAUUCGUCGAGAUGUGGUUGAUCUGUCAUAUUUCCGGAUAAACAAUUCAGCUUUUUGUCGAGAUGUAAGACAACAGGAGCAACAUAUAUAUGUAUGACCUCAGGAUAUAUUUCUGACUUUGUUUAAAACAGGUAAACGUUUAUCUCAAUAAACGGAAA